ACAAACUUUACAAAAAGAAGAGUAAUCGAAGGGAAUUUUUUCAGAGAGCUUCGUUUGGUGAGAGAAGUAAAAGGAACUUUGAUGAAGAUGGUCUUUUUCUAGGAAAUGUCGAUAUGUAGGCAUUUACGGGAUCUCCCGUUACAGAGAUAAAGUAUGUUGGUACUUGAGAGUGGCAUUUUAUGCAAAAUAGGUGGUAACGCGGAAUAAAUUUUCGUCCUUGUU
rnacentral:ncRNA from 1 species